GAUGAAGAACGUAGCGAAAUGCGACAAGUAAUGUGAAUUGCAGAAUUCCGUGAAUCAUCGAAUCUUUGAACGCACAUUGCGCCCCUUGGUAUUCCAUGGGGCAUGCCUGUUCGAGCGUCAUUUGUACCUUCAAGCUCUGCUUGGUGUUGGGUGUUUGUCUCGCCUCUGCGUGUAGACUCGCCUCAAAACAAUUGGCAGCCGGCGUAUUGAUUUCGGAGCGCAGUACAUCUCGCGCUUUGCACUCAUAACGACGACGUCCAAAAGUACAUUUUUACACUCUUGACCUCGGAUCAGGUAGGGAUACCCGCUGAACUUAAGCAUAUCAAUAAGCGGAGGA
rnacentral:misc_RNA from 1 species